GGGAGGCCAUUUUGGGGACGUAGUGGUUGGCCGCCCUUGACCGGCCCCCGCCCGGCCCCUGGACCAGGAGCCUCCAGCCAGAGCAUCUUCUCUCCUCAGCUGCUGAAGAGUCCCCCGCCUGCCGGGUUCUCGACGGGAAUCUCUGUCCAGACUCCUUUCUGCCCUUCACCUACCUCCGCAUAAGCCAGAAUACUCUUCCGUCGCAUUCUGCGGAAAAUAUCUUCCCGGUCCCCCGACGUCAGCACCUCCUCCACUUCAGCUCCGUCUCCCUUUUCCCCAACCUGAGCUGGAUCCCAAUCUUGGAUUCUCCUCCCCUGUCUCCUGGCCUCCACAAAUCAUUCAGCCUGGCACCUUUUUCUCGGUAGGAAGAGAGACUUGGUUGUAUUUUGAGAAUAAGCAAGAAGAGUGAGCAAGAUUCAAGAAAUAGAGAGAGAGAGAGAGCACUCAAAGCCUGGACAUAGAAGAAAAGUUGCAGGAUCUCUCCUUGUUCUCAGUGGAGGUAGAAAGAGUGUUGGCAACUGGCAGAGUUGUCUAUGUCAGAGACAUAAACAGAAAGAUGAGUACACAGACGGUCGUAAAUCCACUUUCUCAGAAGUACAAGGGAAGAGCCCAUAUGCCUGGGUUGGCUGUUCCUUCAAACAAGAGAACUGAUCCUCCAAAGAAAGUGUGCAGUUAAGGAAACUGCCAGCUUUCAGCACCCUGAAGGUUUAUUUAAUUAGGUCACCUCUUCUUCUGCACUCUUAAUAUGGCUCCCUUCACGCAGUCUGAGGCCAAGAGAGCAUCAUGACAAAAAGAAAUGAUCAAUAAAAAAGACGGUUCUUGACAACCCAAGCCGACUCUAGGGUUCGGGAGACUAAGGCCCCAUCCUCAACUCCCCGGCAGCCAGCGCCCCCUCCCGGGAGGCGGGUGCGCAGCAAAGGAGCGCAGGCCGCCUCUGUCCUUCGCUGGACUUCAGCGCUUUCUUCCCACCCCCGCGCCAGGGUUCCUCCUGCCCCGUCCCGCCCCCGCCGCUGGCGCCUCCGCGUCCGCGUGCCGCCCAGCCCCGGGCGUUCGCCGCUCCAGCUGCACCGGCCGGCGCUGCCCACCCACCCACACGUCAAACGCCCUCUUUUCCCCUGAAAAGUUUCUAGACUAUAGGGACUAUUUUCUUCUAAUGUAACCUUCCACCAAACUGGAGGGAAAAGUUGGAGGCAGGAGAAGGGCUGGGGAGCUGGGGGAGGUCCUGGAUUUUAAAAAAGAGGUCACUCUUCCUUGAAAAUGAAUAAUUGCGCCUUCAAGCCAGAGCUUGGUUUGUUGGGUUAAUUGUAAAAGGUGCACGAUGAUGCUAAAUAUUUAAGAUGGAGUUGUUGUUUUUUAGUUAAUAUAUAGUAAAAUAGAUUGCACUAGACAAAUGGUUCUUGUCUUCGGACCUUGCAGUUCUUUCUAUUGAUUCUCAUCUGUCCCCUUCCUCCCCGCCCGCUCCCAAAUCCUUAUGUUCAGCUAUAGACAAAACAAGGUCCCCUGGGAAUGACUUCUUAAAUCCAAGAGACAAAAGUCAAACCUAGAAACUGCUCUUCUGGGAAGUUGGCUGAAUUCUGUCCAUAUUCUGGAUGGGUAAAUUCACCUGCAGAAAUAUUUAAUGAUUAGGAAAACCCAAUAGGCCUGUAUUUUUCAGAUUAUGAGUGGCAAAAUCAGUUUGGCAAGGAGUAUUAGGGAGGGAGGAAGGGAGGAAGAAAGAAAGGGAAGAAGGGACAAGGGAAGAAAGGAAGGAAAAGAAAGGAAGGAGCCAGCAUAAAAGAAUAGAAAAAUAUUACAUAACUAAGGAUCAAUAUUCUUUCAUGAGAGCUUCCCUGGUGGCACAGUGGUUAAGACUCUGCCUGCCAAUGCAGGGGACACGGGUUUGAGCCCUGGUCCAGGAAGAUCCCACAUGCGGUGGAGCCCACGUGCCUAGAGCCCGUGAGCCACAACUACUGAGCCUGUGCUCUAGAGCCCACAAACCACAACUACUGAGCCUGCGUGCUACAACUACUGAAGCCCGCGCACCUAGAGCCCAUGCUUCACAACAAGAGAAGCCACCACAGUGAGAAGCCCGCGCACUUCAAGGAAGAGUAGGCCCCGCUCGCCACAACUAGAGAAAGCCCGCCUGCAGCAAUGAAGACCCAACGCAGCCAAAAGUAAAAUAAAUAAAUUUAUAAAAAAUAUAUAUAUAUUCUUUCGUGAAA